rnacentral:lncRNA from 1 species
GUAUUCUGCACGGACUGCUGGGCAGCACUAGCACUCUGGAGAAGGUCUGCCGCUGUCUGCACUUUCCUGGUUCUAUGCAGGCAGAUGAGUGUCACAGCUGUAACUGAGGCACAGAGCAGUACACACAGUGGAGCCGAUUUCCGCGAUGGCGAGAGGGGGCACCGGAGGUGACAACAAUAACAAGACUGUCCUUCGGACAAGUUUUAGCGCUGAAUAUCUUCAGGAAAAUGGGUUCCAUGAGAAGUGACAUCCUCCUCGAAUCAAAAGAUUCUCAGGAUGAUGGAGUGAGUGAUGGAAUAGGUUGCCAACUGUAGUUACUCCACUCAGCACAGAAUGGCUGCGGGGAAAUAUAAUCAGACAUGCCCAAAGAAGUCUGCUUAGGGUGAAACAAAUACCUUUGAGGUUUAAAUCAGCAUUCCAUCCGUGCAGGCAGAUGGUGUUCCUAGGUUUGGAAAUAUAAAUCCCAUGGGAAGUCAGCUGAAGACCAUUUUAUGCAUCACUCAUCCUGUUAGAGCCCUGUGCUGUUCUGUCUCUCUAUAAGACUGGCUGAAACCACCACGGUUGUUUACAAUUUAUGCUCUAACUUUGGAUCACCUAGUUAAUACUCUAACUCCGAUUAUUACCAAAGACAAUGUUCUAUAAAAGAUAUUGUCUAUUAGAAGGAUGCUUCUGCAUUAUUAAUAAAAUCACAGGGAAAAUGCAACAUUUUGGAUGUCACAUCUGAUAAGUUGGCAGUUAAAGAACAGAAACAGCAAUAAGACUGCGUGGCUACAUUUUCCCAGUGCCACCAACUGGGAUUUAAGCUGACUAACAUUUUGAAAGCCCAGCCCAUUUCAUUCACAGCAGGAUGGCAGUGGGUGACUGAUCGUACCCGCCAGCUGGCUAAUGUCAUAAUUAACAAAGUUGCUACUACAUCUGCAAAGUUUAAUCGAAAAAUUUGCCAGUGAUAUGAUGGCCUUGUCACAGAGAUCACAAGGGACACGGAGUUGACUUUUGCUCAAGGUGGAACGACAGAGCUGUGUAGGCAAGAUGAGAAAUUGCGAACUUGUUCGGCCAAAGGAGGCUAAUAAUGAAGGGGCCGGGAAGGAGGCCAGUGCUACCAGGGUUAUCUCACAACCUCAGAUGCUGGAUAAGUCGACGGAGGCAGAAUCGCUUUGGGAUGACAUUCAGAAAGCCUGGAGUGAUUACUUGCAAGAGAAAAGCCUACCUAUUCUUUCCAAGGUGCAGGAAUAUUCCCCUGACCUGCUCAUCCAGUGGUCCAGUAAUGAAUUACUGGAGACCUGCCUUAGACAAAGAAUGCACUCGGAGCCCCAACACACCUAAAGCCAUGCUUUGAAGGAUCUGCCAAGCUCACUUUUAAUCAUGAGAAAGAAAUUACCCACACGGAGUCAGCAGAAAAUGAGAAAGUAGAGCUCGUGCUGUGAAUAAUUCCAGCAAGUGCCAAGGGGCUAGUUGAGGAAUGGCUUCAUGAGAUGUUAGUCUAAAACAGCACCUUGGAUCUAAGCAGCACCUUUGAGAAAGAAAAGACUGCUUCAAGAAUGUCUAGUUGCACCUCCUUUCCGUAUGUGGCCUAAAUGCCUAGGUUGGAUCAAUAGUUUAAUUUUUUUAUUGAACUGUUUAAUAUUGACUAUGGACUUACAUUCACUUUUACUGUUUUCUGUAUAUUUACUUUUGCUUGAAGUGUUUUAAUAUUGACUAUUUACCUCUGCUCAUUUUUAUUGAUUUUCUGUAUUUUUUCAAUGAAAAUUAUAAUAAAAAUUAUUUUUGUUA